rnacentral:rRNA from 1 species
UAUUCUCCUGUGUUGAAAGAGCUUCUAAUGUUCUUGCAGUCAGGGGCAAAAAAAAACUCACAAAAAUAUGAGCCCAGUGACCAUGAUCCGCUUGCAGCAAAUCUGGCUGAUUCGCUCUCUAUUGGGAAUAUUCCUCUUGGCAUGUUGGUUAUCCCUUUGCACUGAACUGCAUUAUUGAAUCGAAAGGUAGCUAUAUCAUGGGAGUGUAAAAUUUCAUAUUUAUUCACAGGGUUGUGGAUUAUUGUUCUUUAUUGUGAUUUAGAAAGUUUAAUUUUAGUGACAUUUGGUUUUAAUGAGUUCGACAAUAACCCGCAUAUGCUGUUAAUCAGAAGUUAUAUUACACAGUUUCAUCUUCGCUAUUGUCGCGGCAUAGUGUGACAGAAGUUACUCCAGUUGUAUGUAUGUAUCAUCCUUUUCCUACUCAAGUAUCGAGUGGCUAAUAUGUUGCUCUCACCUACAUCUUCUCUUGCAGGCACCUUUUUUUUAGCUGCAAUAUUCAUUUGGAUCUCUCAGCAACAUAUCUUUUCUACUUAAUACUCUACAGGCAUAAUGUUACUGACUAGUUUCCAGUCUAUCUGAAUUUUGUAUAGCUUUUAGAGUGCCUAUUCUCAUGAGCUAAUUCUGAUAUUUUUUGUAGAGCUUCCAUAUUAUCAUUAGGAAGAAUAAGGCUGUCAAGUAUAGCUUUUAGAGUGCCUAUUCUCAUUAGGAAGCAUUAGCUUUGUCUCAGAAGUUCUCUGUAAUGAUCAGCUAUUAGCUAUCAUCGAUGUUUCCAGAGAAUUGUUUCCAAUUGUCUGUCAUCUCAAAUUCUCAAUUGUAUUUAUGAGCAGAUAAAACAUCUACUGUAACACCUGCUGGUAUGAACUACUUGGCUAUAUUUACGUAACUUGUACGUUUAUGUUUUGUACUAUCUGAUGCAAGUCAAUUGUCCUGAGCAAACAUUGUGCCUUGCUUUUGGUACAAAUUGUGCUUUUAUGUUUUAUAGUGAAAUUGCG